UAUUUACUGACAAGGAAUUUUUUAAUAAAGUGUUUAAAUUUUUUACCUUUUGUUUCAGGGUGUACCAAAACACUAACAGGGUUUUCUCGAGAACUAUUUUUAAUAAUUUUUUUUAUUUUUCUGUGUCAAAAGAUAGUGAUUUAUUUUAAGAGGUGAAAUUCUUUCGAUUUAGUUGAUACCUAGAUUUUACCUAAACAAGUAACAGAGUAGCUGUUACUGUUAUUUAGUGGUCAAGAGGUAAUAAUUAAUUAGGCUUUAAAGUUGCCAUACUAAUAAAGUGUUUUUACUAGUGUCUGUAAAAAAUAUAAACUUAUAGCUGUUUAAUUAAAAAUACCAAUAUUUUUAUGUUGAAUGGUUUAAUUAGUAAUGUGUUUAUAUAAAGAUAAAGGAACUCAGAAUUUCGAGGAAUGUUUAACAAAAACAUUUUUUUAUACCUAUAAAAUAAGACCUGCCCAGUGCUGUAGUAAACGGCUGCGGUAUACUAACUGUGCUAAGGUAGCAUAAUAAUUUGUGUUUUAAAUGGGCACUAGUAUGAAUGGUCCCACAUUGUUUAUUUUUCUUUUCUUUACGGUAUGAAUUUAGAGUAAAAGUAUGAAUACUUUUAUACACUAAAAAGACGAUAAGACCCUAAAAGCUUUAUACACUUGUCUAAUUAUUUUUAUAUAACACGAGAUUUAGGUUUUAACUGGGGUAGUUUUGUUUUUAUUAAACUAAUUUAAAACUUUUAAGGUUCUAUGACCCUUUAAUAAAGGUAUUAGUUUUAGUUACUUUAGGGAUAACAGCGUUAUAAAAUUAAAGAGAUCUUAUCUUCAGUUUUGAUUGCGACCUCGAUGUUGAAUUAACAGAUCCGUAUGAGGCAGGUCUCAUAAAGGAGGGUUUGUUCAACCUUUAAUUUGUUACAUGAUUUGAGUUCAAACCGGUUUAAGCCAGGUUGGUUUCUAUCUUUUAGUUUGAAGCUACUUCUCUAGUACGAAAGGACCGAUUAGU
rnacentral:rRNA from 1 species